AGUAGUUCAGUGGUAGAAUAUCCGACUGUUAAUCGGCAGGUCGCUGGUUCGAAUCCAGCCU
rnacentral:tRNA from 1 species